AUGAGUCACCGAUCGCAUCACAUUCACGCAUCACUCCGCACAGCACACUAGACCAGAAUCAGAUCCGGCGGUAACCAUGGCCGAGGGGUUCCAGCUCCAGGGUCGGCACGGCAAGUCCCGUGUCCGCGUCUCCCACGUGUGGAGCCGCCCCGCGACUGCCUCCCCUCCUACACCUCCAGCGACAACUCCGCCAUCCUCGCCACCGAUUCCAUCAAGAACACCGUGUAUGUUAAGGCGAAGGAGUGCAUGGAAAUGGUGUCCAUGGAGGAAUUCGCGGUGAUUCUUGGAAAGCAUUUUACCUCGUUGUAUCCUCAGCAUCAUGGAGCUGGAGUCGUGAUCGCUGUUCAUCUUCCAUCCUACACGGUCGGGCGGUUGGAUUUAUUGGGCUCGAAAUGGGAAGCAUAAACCAUCCGCUCGCCUGCUGCAAUGGCACGUGUGCAGGCG